AUGAUAAAAAAAAUAACCGUGUUAAAAUAUAUUAUAUUUUCUUAAAUAGUACACAUUUUUACGAUACAUUUAUAAUGACAAAAAACCAACUAGUUCAUAUGACGACAACGAUAAUUAUUGUAUGAUGGUAGUUGUCUGAAGUCAUAAAAAGCUUAUCGGUAUGCUUAUUCAUUAGAGCGGUUUGAUUCCUGAAACUAUCUCUAGUCUGAUUAAGUGUGGUAACAGUUUUAAGAUGAGUCAAAGAUGAUGGUUGAACAGUUCUCCAUUGACACUAACUGGAAGAAAUAAUUGUUUUAUCAUUUGUCUAAAUAGACUAGCUAGAAUGUGACCAGAGGAAGAUUAAAUGGACAUAUCAUAUAUUUCUCCAUGGACACUGUAGUAAUCCAUAGACUGACUUUUGACACUAUAUUUGAAUAUUUGUUGUUGACGUUAAUUGGAUUUUGUGCAAAACCCCUGGAAGAAUAUUCUGUAUCAGACUAACAGUAUAAACGCCACCCAGUAAUUCUGUUUACCUGCUGUUAGACAUCGUAGUACCAUCUCCAAUCUCUUUAUAUAUUGUUUAAUUUUAUUUAAAAAAGUCUUAUUAUAAUUUAUUAUUAAUCAAGUGUAAUUCAGUUGAUUAUUUAUUGAAUAACUUAUUAUCCUGUCUUCAAUGUCCAUAUAAACUGUACUGUAUUUAUGACCACUACACUGAUAUCUCAUUUGACUAAAUAUUUUUAAUUUUCAACUACAUUAAAAC